rnacentral:lncRNA from 1 species
CACCAGAGUUUCAUAGGAUUAGGAAUAUAAAAGAUUAGUUCAGAUAUAAUCCUCUUCAGCCAUACACCUUCACAUAUUCCAUAAGUAAGAGAUCUUAAUUCAGCUUCAGCAUUACUUCUAAAUAUAAUUGACUGUUUCUUACUUCGCCAAAUGACUAGAUUGUCCCACACAUACGUACAGUAACCAAUUGUUGAUCUUCUAUCAGUCAUUGAUCCUGCCCAAUCAACAUUAGUGAAGAUCUCAAAUGUCUCUGUUUAUUGUUUUUUGAAAGAACCCUGACCAAGGGUCUUCUUUAAGUACUUCAAAAUCCGGUAAACGGCACUCAUAUAUUCUUUAGUUGGUUCAGCCAUAAACUGACUUACAGUGCUCACAGCAAAACUAAUAUCAGGUCUGGUAUGAGCAAGAUAGAUAAGUUUAUCAAUAAGUCUCUGAUUUCUCUCUUUAUCAACAGAUUUAUUAUCAUUUUUUAAACCGAUUUUGACAUUGAACUCCAUUGGUGUUCCUACAAAUUUAUAACCAAGUAUACCUGUUUUCUUUAAAAGAUCUAAGAUAUAUUUGCAUUGUGAAACAAAGAUACCUUUCUUAUAUCAAGCUACUUCCAUCCCAAAAAAGUAUCGAAGUAACCCAAAGUCUUUGAUCUUGAAUUCUUUGGCUAGAAGCUUUUUGAGUUACAAAAUUUCUUCAUCAUUAUCACAUGUUAAGAUAAUGUCAUCAACAUAUACAAGUAAGAUAGAUUUCUUCCUCGUGGCAUUGCUUUUGGUAAAAAGUGUGUGAUCAGACUGACACUGAAGAUAUCUCAUCUGUUUCACUACCCUUGAAAAUCUCUCAAACCAUGCCCUCAAAGACUGCUUAAGACCAUAAAGAGUCUUUUUUAAUUGACAUACCUUCUUAGACCCGAUGCUAAGUCCAGGAGGGACUUCUAUGUAAACUUCUUCUUCUAGAUCUCCAUUGAGGAAAGCAUUCUUUACAUCCAGUUGAUGAAGAGACCAAUCAAGGUUUGAGAUCAAGGAGAAUAGAACCGUAUUGUGUUAUGUUUAGCAACUGGGGCAAAAGUUUCCUGAUAGUCAAUCCCAUAUGACUGAGUGAAGCCUUUGUCAACAAGGCAAGCUUUAUGACAGCUCACAGUUCCAUCAGGAUUAUACUUUAUGGUGAAGAUCCAUUUGCACUCUAUAGGAUUUUUUCCUAAAGGUAGAUCAGAUAGUUCCCAUGUCUCAUUCUUUUCAACCGCUAUGAUCUUUUCUUGGAUUGCAGCUUUUCAUUUUGCGAACUCAAGUGCCUCAUGAACAGUUCUUGUUUAUGGUGAAGAUCCGUUUGCACCCUACAGGAUUUUUUCCUAAAGGUAGAUCAGAUAGUUCCCAUGUCUCAUUCUUUUCAACCGCUAUGAUCUUUUCUUGGAUUGCAGCUUUCCAUUCUGCGAACUCAAGUGCCUCAUGAACAGUUCUUGGGACAAUGUUGUUAUUGAGCUUACUAACAAGUGCAUUGUAUGUUGAAGACAACUUAUCAUAUGACACAUAAUCUUGUAUGGGAUGUAUGGUGUAAGACCAUAUACCUUUUCUCAAAGCAAUAGGAAGUUCAACGUUAGUAUCAAUAUUAAUCACCGAGUCAAAAAUUUCAUUACCUGUAUUAUUAUGAGUGUUCGGUUCAGGAGUUGACUCAUGACUUUUCAUGGUUGAUUUAGGAAUUCUAUUAUCUUGAGUCUUAUUUCUCUUUAUGUAACUCAUAACUUACUUUUUUGCAGGUAAUGUGCCAUUAGCAUCUAUGUCAUUAGUAUCUGUA